AAGUCGUAACAAGGUUUCCGUAGGUGAACCUGCGGAAGGAUCAUUAAUGAAUAUCUCAUCAAUUCAUUGAUAACACCCCCCUCUGUGAACACGUUACCCUGUUGCUUCCCGUGGGCCCGCCUCCCCUGGGGGGCGGAACCCGCCCGCGGGGAGGUCCGCAACUGAAACCCUUUUGUUUUUGUCAUGCCGUCUCUAGUCUGAAUCGAAAAACCAGAAACGUUAAAACUUUCAACAACGGAUCUCUUGGUUCUCGCAUCGAUGAAGAACGCAGCGAAAUGCGAUAAGUAGUGUGAAUUGCAGAAUUCAGUGAAUCAUCGAAUCUUUGAACGCACAUUGCGCCUCCUGGUAUUCCGGGAGGCAUGCCUGUUCGAGCGUCAUUAAAACCCACUCAGGUCCCCUUUGGGGGUUCUGGUCGUGGAGGAGCAGCCGCGAGGCGAGCCCCUCCGAAAUCCAUCGUGCGGAAAGNCCCCGGUGGCCCAGGCGUAGUNAAACUUCUUUCUCUCGUCUGGCGUCCGUCGAGCGUUCCUGCCGUCAACCCCCCCACAGCCUUCUUGUGAUAUUGACCUCGAAUCAGGUAGGGAUACCCGCUGAACUUAAGCAUAUCAAUAAGCGGAGGAAAAGAAACCAACAGGGAUUGCCUUAGUAACUGCGAGUGAAGCGGCAAGAGCUCAAAUUUGAAAUCUGGCGUCUUUGGCGUCCGAGUUGUAAUUUGGAGAGGCAUCUUCGGGGGCGGCNCCGGCCUAAGUUCCUUGGAACAGGACGUCAUAGAGGGUGAGAAUCCCGUUCUCGGCUGGCUGUCCGUCCUCAUGUGAAGUGUCUUCGACGAGUCGAGUUGUUUGGGAAUGCAGCUCAAAAUGGGUGGUAAACUCCAUCUAAAGCUAAAUACUGGCGAGAGACCGAUAGCGCACAAGUAGAGUGAUCGAAAGAUGAAAAGCACUUUGAAAAGAGAGUCAAAAGGUACGUGAAAUUGUUGAAAGGGAAGCGCUUGAGACCAGACUCGGCGUGAGGUAUUCAUCGUCCCUUCUGGGGCGUGCACUUGCCUCUCGUCGGGCCAGCAUCGGUUGCGGCGGCGGGAUAAAGACCUGGGGAACGUGGCUGCUCUCGGGCAGUGUUAUAGCCCCGGGUGUCAUGCCGCCUGCUGCGACCGAGGACCGCGCUUCGGCUAGGAUGCUGGCACAAUGGUCUUCAGCGACC
rnacentral:rRNA from 1 species